GACGAACGCUGGCGGCGUGCUUAACACAUGCCAGUCGAACGGAAAGGCCCUGCUUUUGUGGGGUGCUCGAGUGGCGAACGGGUGAGUAACACGUGAGUAACCUGCCCUUGACUUUGGGAUAACUUCAGGAAACUGGGGCUAAUACCGGAUAGGAGCUCCUGCUGCAUGGUGGGGGUUGGAAAGUUUCGGCGGUUGGGGAUGGACUCGCGGCUUAUCAGCUUGUUGGUGGGGUAGUGGCUUACCAAGGCUUUGACGGGUAGCCGGCCUGAGAGGGUGACCGGCCACAUUGGGACUGAGAUACGGCCCAGACUCAUACGGGGGGCAGCAGUGGGGAAUAUUGCACAAUGGGCGGAAGCCUGAUGCAGCCACGCCGCGUGCGGGAUGACGGCCUUCGGGUUGUAAACCGCUUUCGCCUGUGACGAAGCGUGAGUGACGGUAAUGGGUAAAGAAGCACCGGCUAACUACGUG
rnacentral:rRNA from 1 species